rnacentral:lncRNA from 1 species
ACUACUAGAAAAUUAGUGGCAGUUAUUUAUGCUGCUAAAUGAUUAAUAAAUGCUGCUAAAAGGUUUAGCAGCAUAUGACACCAAAUGCUGCCUAUACCAAUGUUGCUAAAGUAUUAGCAGUAUUUAAUUUAUUAUAAAUGCCGCCAAUAUAAAUCAAUUAGUAUCAUUAGGAAUAUGCCGCUAAAAGGGAUUAAAUGCUAAUUUUAAAUUGUUUAUUAGUGGCAUAUAAAUAUAAUGGCGCUAAUACAAAUAUCUGACUUUAAAAAUUAAAAUUUUAAAAUUUUAAUUUUAUUUUUUUGACAUGCCACCCGCUUUAUUUAUUUUCUUUUGUCUUAAACUUUGCUGUAAAUGUGAAUAAACUAGAAUUCGAACUUUAGACCACGAGUACCAACAACCAAGCCCUUUGCCACUUGCGCUAGCGACUAUUAGUUAUGUAUAUUUUAAUUUUUUAUAUUUUAAGUCUUUUAUUUUAAAAUUUUUAAAUUUUUAAAUUUUAAAUUUUAAAAUUUUAAAUUUAGAUACUAAAUUUAAAUUUUUAAUUUUGAAAUAUGAAAUUUUAAGUUUCAAAAUUAAUAGUUUUAAAUUUAAAAUUUGAAAUUUAAAAUAAUUUUAAAAUUUUAAAAUUUUAAAAUUAAUAAUUUUAGAAUUAAAAUUUAAAAUAUAAAUUUUAGAAUUUUAAAUUUUAAAUUUAAGCUUAAUUUUUAAAAUUAUAUGUUUCGAAUUUUAAACUUUAAUUUUAAAAUUUUUAAUUCUAAAUAAAAAAUGGAUAUAUUAAUAAUUAUAUAUUAAUUAGUAAUGAUAUUUAGUAACAAGUGCUGCUAGUUUAUUAUAUUUAGCGGCAAUCACUAAUUUAUGCUGUUAAUUUAUCCUAUUUUGCAACAUUAAUAGUAAAUUGCUGCUAAAUAAUUAAAUCUAGCGACAAUUAUCAAGUAAUGCUGUUAAAUAUAUUAAUUAAUGUGAUUUAAAUAAAUAUUGCGGCAUUUAGUAAUAAGUGCUGUUAUUUUAUUACAUUUAGUGUCAUUUUUUAUAAAAUGCUAGAAACUUCGGCGGCAUUCACUAAUUUAUGCUGCUAAUGUAUUCUAUUUUGCAGCAUUAAUAGUAAAUUGCUGCUAAAUUAUUAAAUUUAGCGGCACUUAUCAAAUAAUGCUGUUAAAUAUAUUAAUUAGCGUUAUUUAAAUAAAUGUUGCGGAGUAAAUGCCGCUAAAUCACGAAUUUGUAGUAGUGCGAGUUGUCUGGG